rnacentral:ribozyme from 1 species
ACAAUAGUAAAAAAAAAUUCAUGUGCCAAAAUUGAUUUCCACCCCCCGCGUACGUUGCCGGAUGACCGUAGUUUUUUUUUUUUUUUUUUUUUUUUCUUUCUAGCUAC